rnacentral:misc_RNA from 1 species
GAUGAAGAACGUAGCGAAAUGCGAUAAGUAGUGUGAAUUGCAGAAUUCAGUGAAUCAUCGAAUCUUUGAACGCACAUUGCGCCCCUUGGUAUUCCAUGGGGCAUGCCUGUUCGAGCGUCAUUUGUACCUUCAAGCUCUGCUUGGUGUUGGGUGUUUGUCCUUGCUCUAGUGGGGGGACUCGCCUUAAAGUAAUUGGCAGCCAGUGUUUUGGUUUUGAAGCGCAGCACAAGUCGCGAUUCAAGUCUAUACGCUAGUUUCCACAAGUCUUUUAUCACUUUUGACCUCGGAUCAGGUAGGGAUACCCGCUGAACUUAAGCAUAUCAAUAAGCGGAGGA